UGGGGGAUAUUGCACAAUGGGGGAAACCCUGAUGCAGCGACGCCGCGUGAGUGAAGAAGUAUUUCGGUAUGUAAAGCUCUAUCAGCAGGGAAGAAAAUGACAGUACCUGACCAAGAAGCCCCGGCUAACUACGUGCCAGCAGCCGCGGUAAUACGUAGGGGGCAAGCGUUAUCCGGAUUUACUGGGUGUAAAGGGAGCGUAGACGGUUAUGUAAGUCUGGAGUGAAAGCCCGGGGCCCAACCCCGGGACUGCUUUGGAAACUGUGUAACUGGAGUACAGGAGGGGCAGGCGGAAUUCCUGGUGUAGCGGUGAAAUGCGUAGAUAUCAGGAGGAACACCGGCGGCGAAGGCGGCCUGCUGGACUGAAACUGACGUUGAGGCUCGAAAGCGUGGGGAGCAAACAGG
rnacentral:rRNA from 2 species